rnacentral:rRNA from 1 species
GACGAACGCUGGCGGCGCGCCUAAUACAUGCAAGUCGAGCGAGAACCGGGGCUUCGGCCCCGGGGACAGCGGCGAACGGGUGAGUAACACGUGGAUAACCUGCCCUCGGCACCGGAAUAGCCCGGGGAAACUCGGAUUAAUGCCGGAUAGCCCCACAUCCUCGCGGGGAACGUGGGAAAAGGUAGCUUCGGCCUCUGGCCGAGGAUGGGUCCGCGGUGGAUUAGCUUGUUGGCGGGGUAAUGGCCCACCAAGGCGACGAUCCAUAGCUGGUCUGAGAGGACGAUCACCCACACGGGGAGUGAGACACGGCCCAGACUCCUACGGGAGGCAGCAGUAGGGAAUCUUGCGCAAUGGGCGAAAGCCUGACGCAGCGACGCCGCGUGCGGGAAGAAGGCCUUCGGGUUGUAACCCGCUUUCAGGAGGGACGAAGCCACUCGGGUUAAUAGCCCAGAGGGUGACGGUACCUCCAGAAGAAGCCCCGGCUAACUACGUGCCAGCAGCCGCCGUAA